UGGAUGUAUGGGGACAUUUAGCAGUUGGGUCAUGGAUGUAGCGUGUAGACGUCGAAUUUCACUCUGAAGCUAGCUGAUCACGUUGAGAAUGAAAUCGACAAUGGCUCGUGUGCCACGUGCAUAGCUUGCUUGUUGCCUAUGUUUGGUUUUGGCUUCUUUCCUUGCUGUGAGAAAAGCUGGGCAUGGCACGUGGGACCCACUUGCCAGUGGCGUAAGGCCCUUGGUUAGUCAUGAGGUUUUCCUCCCCCUAUGUUUGGAAACCUGAACCUGAAGCAGCCCAUGCGGCACGGAGCCUGCAUGCAUGCUCCCAAUCCGAUCUGACGGUCACCGUCGCCCCCAUCCUCCCGCGCACGAAUCUCGGC
rnacentral:lncRNA from 1 species